GGACGAACGCUGGCGGCGUGCCUAACACAUGCAAGUCGAGCGGAGUCGAUCGACGGAAGCCUUCGGGCGGAAGAUGGUUGACUUAGCGGCGGAUGGGUGAGUAACGCGUGGGCAACCUGCCUCGAAGACCGGGAUAACAGCCCGAAAGGGCUGCUAAUACCGGAUGUGGUCAAAGAUCCGCAUGGAUUUUUGAUUAAAGGGGAAACCCGUUUCGAGAUGGGCCCGCGUCCUAUCAGCUAGUUGGUGAGGUAAAAGCUCACCAAGGCGACGACGGGUAGCCGGCCUGAGAGGGUGACCGGCCACACUGGAACUGAGACACGGUCCAGACUCCUACGGGGGGCAGCAGUGGGGAAUCUUCCACAAUGGGCGAAAGCCUGAUGGGGCGACGCCGCGUGGGCGAAGAAGGCCUUCGGGUUGUAAAGCUCUGUCUGGAGGGACGAAGGAAGUGACGGUACCUCCGGAGGAAGCCACGGCUAACUACGUGCCAGCAGCCGCGGUAACACGUAGGAGGCAAACGUUAUCCGGAUUUACUGGGCGUAAAGCGCGUGUAGGUGGUUUGGUAAGUAGGGCGUGAAAGCUCCUGGCUCAACUGGGAGAGGACGUUCUAAACUGCCAAGCUUGAGGAUGGUAGAGGGAGGUGGAAUUCCGGGUGUAGCGGUGGAAUGCGCAGAUAUCCGGAGGAACACCAGUGGCGAAGGCGGCCUCCUGGACCACUCCUGACACUCAGACGCGAAAGCUAGGGUAGCAAACGGGAUUAGAGACCCCGGUAGUCCUAGCCCUAAACGAUGUAGACUUGGCGUCGGUGGUUUAAUCGCCAUCGGUGUCGUAGCUAACGCGAUAAGUCUACCGCCUGGGGACUACGGCCGCAAGGUUAAAACUCAAAGGAAUUGACGGGUCCCCGCACAAGCAGCGGAGCGUGUGGUUUAAUUCGAUGCUACACGAAGAACCUUACCUGGGUUUGACAUAGAGGUAGUAGGGAAGCGAAAGCGGACCGACCCUUCGGGGAGCCUCUACAGGUGUUGCAUGGCUGUCGUCAGCUCGUGUCGUGAGAUGUUCGGUUAAGUCCGCUAACGAGCGCAACCCUCGCUGUGUGUUACAAGUGUCACACGGUACUGCCGAUAUUAAGUCGGAGGAAGGUGGGGAUGACGUCAAGUCAGCAUGACCUUUAUAUCCAGGGCUACACACACGCUACAAUGGCCAGUACAAUGGGUUGCCAAGCCGCGAGGCGGAGCCAAUCCUAAAAAGCUGGCCUCAGUUCAGAUUGCAGUCUGCAACUCGACUGCAUGAAGUUGGAGUUGCUAGUAACCGCAGGUCAGCAAUACUGCGGUGAAUACGUUCCCGGGGAU
rnacentral:rRNA from 1 species